GUGCCAGCAGCCGCGGUAAUACAGAGGGUGCAAGCAUUAAUCGGAUUUAUUGGGCGUAAAGAGCGCGUAGGCGGGUUUUUAAGUCAGAUGUGAAAUCCCGGGGCUCAACCCCGGAACAGCAUUUGAAACUGAAAAUCUUGAGGGUAGUCGGAGAAAAUGGAAUUCCACGUGUAGCGGUGAAAUGCGUAGAUAUGUGGAAGAACACCGGUGGCGAAGGCGAUUUUCUAGAUUAUUCCUGACGCUGAGGCGCGAAAGCAAGGGGAUCAAACAGGAUUAGAUACCCUGGUAGUCCUUGCCGUAAACUAUGUAUACUUGGUGUAACUGGACUCAACCCUAGUUGUGCCGAAGCUAACGCGAUAAGUAUACCGCCUGAGGAGUACGCUCGCAAGGGUGAAACUCAAAGAAAUUGGCGG
rnacentral:rRNA from 1 species